UUUAUGUUUUUGUUGUUAUUUUGUAUUCGCAUUUUGAAUUCUCGGAAUAGCUGAUUUUGUCGAUGAGGAAGAUGAGUAGAUUGAUACUGUAUACGAACACGUGGCAGACGUUUGUUUGGGAGAUCGGUACCCCUUGUCUGUAGUGGCCCUCAUCAUGCGUUGGCCAGGACCUGAGAAGCUGGCAUCCUAACUGCUCGAUUGAAUGGAGCAAGUGACGUUCAACUGAAUGUUUUGGAAUGCCCUAUCUGCCUUUUCUUGACCAUGGCAGCCUCAAUUCAUGGGCCAUGACUGAAAAAAGGCCAAUUGUAUGAUUAAUGCAUACCUAAAGGGGAAUGCAAAUAGAUCAAAGAAAAGAAGAAAGAGAUUGCGGGAGAGAACCUAACAAUCCUCUAGCUGAAUGCUAGUGACUGAGGAAACCAUCUCUCCAAAUCUUCUACUAAAUAAAACCAAAGAAAAAAAAAAACAUGAAAACUGAAAUUUUUACUAAAUAACAAUAACAAUAAUAAUAAUAAUAAUAAUGCACUAUACCUCCAUAACAUAGCCUUAUAUAGGUUCACGAAAAAAAAGAAGCCCUGAUAAUAAAAAAUGAACAAAGGUGCCCCUAAGUCCCGUCACGAGCCUUCAGUAAAUGGGUCAUAUCUCACCCAAACAACCUUGGAAUUACAUGAUCUUGGGCUCGUUUGAACGCUUACUCAACAAGCUAUCAAAUGAGGACCAAUUUUGUGUCAUUCCAACAUCGUUAGAUGCCUCAAAAGUAGCCUGCAACAGAAAGUGAUGAAAAUACAAGAUAAAUUUUAUUAACUAAAUCAUGACUCAACUUCACCCUAAAGACUAAUUAAUUAAAUAAAACCUAUGAAAUUAAUGACCAUAUGAUUGUUCCCAUAGACCCAGAAUUUAAGUUGACUGUCGUUCUCAUCAAAAUUUGGUCCAAAUCAUCAGUCAAGACAAUUCGAUUGGUAGGAUUGAUCAGAUUUUAGAUCAACCAGCUUGUGUGGCCAUUUGGUUGCAUCAAUUCCCUCAGGCUUCGAAAAGAACUCAUCCUCAAGUUCAAAUUGGCGGAUGCGCAGUUUGUGCAUGAUACAACAUUUAAAUACGCCAUAUUUUCUUUUGCUUCUUGUUAGUCCUUCAUGUUCUAGGUGUUGAUUGGGGCCCUUUUGUCAUGGUCGGCUUCUGAUUUGCAUACCUUGAUUGGUGUUGCGAUGGUACAAUUGUGUGGACCUCCAUAGAGUUGCCACUAUGAUCGGAGCACUGUCCAUCUCUGUGACCACUGGGUCAUACAUAUCUAUUAAACCUUCAGUCUCUUCAAUUGGGUCAUUCGUCAAUUAUCUUUUAGCUUGACCUGAACUUCCUCCAAUCUAGCUGUUGGUCCAUCCCCAUCCAUGGAUUGAUCAAGCAAUCCAACGGAGGAUUCCUCUUGGAUCGCCACAUUGUCUGCAAUCACAUUAUCCUCACAAACUCUAGAUACAAUAGAUUGAAGUCCAUAGUGCCUUUCUCCUUCAAUCAAGGUCCAAAGCAAGCUCUCAUUGCCUCGUUGAGUUCCUUGAAUUUUUUUUCGCAAUUUCUUCUGUUAAUGCUCAAAUAUUCUUCUUGAGGUCCUGUGGAUUCUGCUUCUUCAUCUCUUUUGCUAUUGUUGACAGAAGAUACUUUUGAGCAGCCAACAUGUUGCUGCUGUCCUUCAAAAUAUUGAAAGGGUUAUUGAAAGAAAUUUCCAUGAGACACGUAUGAAGAUGGGUAAAGACUCGGGGCAAUAUGAGGGACAAUCAUGAUAGUCGAGGUUGUAGGUCUAAGCAUUGUGGGAAGGAAGCAAAAAGGAAAAGAGAGAAGGGAUGAUGAAGGAUUGAAGAAAAGGGGAAAGAUGAAAGGGAGGGAUUGAGAUGUGGAUAUUAUCUUAUUUCAGUUUACCAAGACAAGAACUUGCUCUGAUUUCUUCUUCUUUUUUUUCUUUUUUCUUUUUUGAGGGAGAGAGAUCUAUGAUGGCAAUUACUGUAAACCCCAAAAGGGGAUGCAGAUGAUCAAAGAAAAAAAGAAAGAGAUUGUGGGAAAGAACUCAACAACCCUAUAGCUGAAUGCUAGAGACUGGAAAACCCUCUCUCCAAGUCUUCUCUGGAAAUAACAUGGAAACUGAAUUUUUUUUAUCAAUAAUUAUGGUAAUAAUGCAUUACACCUCCAUAACAUAGCUAUAUAGGUUUAAAAGAAAAAUAAAAUAAAAUAAAAGCCCUAAUGAGAGCCCCUAAAGCCUGUCACUACCAUAUGGCCCUUGUGCAAAUGGGCCAUAUCUCACCCACACGGCGUCAAAACUGCAUGAUCUUGGGCUUGUUUAAAAACUUAGUAAGCCAUCAAAUGGGAUCAAUUUUGUGUCAUUUAGAUGAUGUAUGAGACACUUUGAUGCCCCAAAAGUGGUCACUUGCCAGCCAAAUAAGUGACAGAAAUACAAAAAAGAUUUUAGUAACUAAAUCAUGACUCUCACCUCCAAAGACUAAUUAAAUAAAUAAAACCGAUGAAAUUGAUGAUGCAUAUUGAUCCCAUUGUCCCACAAUUUAAAUUGACCUUUGAUCCCAUUCAAUCGGCCAUCACCAUCAGCGUCAACAUCAAUCAAGACAAUCUGAAUGGUAGGAUUGAUCAGAUUUUAGUUCAACCAGCUUAUGUGGUCAGUUGGUUGCAUCAUCCUAACUGUU